AAACAGGAACUCAGGUAACUGUGACGAAUGAAGAUAGAAGAAGAGUUGAGAAGAAGGUAAGCAGAAUUUGCAAGAGCCGAAGAUCGUGAGACCUAGGGUUGGAAAACUACCUGGUAAGCAGAAUCACUUGAGACGCCGACUGAAGCCUGGGUGGAAGUCGAUGGUGUCGACUGAAUUCGAUGGCGGAGGCAGGAGAAGGGCGGACGCAAGGAUGACUGGAGUAGGAUUAGG
rnacentral:lncRNA from 1 species